GCCAGGUGCGGUGGCACACUCCUGUAAUCCCAGCAGCUUGGAAGGCUGAGGCAGGAGGAUCUCGAGUUCAAAGCCAGCCUCAGCAAUGGUGAGGUGCUAAGUAACUCAGUGAGACCCUGUCUCUA
rnacentral:sRNA from 1 species